GGGGGCGUCCCGGUUUCGACGCGGGUUGCGAAGCAGUGCAGUGCAUGCCGAGGUCCAGUCACCUCGUAAAUCCAACUGGAAACGCUACAAACGCCAACGACGAGCGUUACGCUCUAGCCGCUUAAUCCGGCUGGACUUCGCACCGGUCAGGUUCCGGGCCGGGAGGGGCAACUCUCAGCGAAGCCAUUCAGGAACCUCGUGCCGAGUGGGGCUACGACUCACGGCAUUAAAGUCGCAGUAGAUCGCCCGAAAUGAGCCCGUCGGCCGGCGCAUCGAGGGUUAAAACCAAAUGGUUAGACUAAGCAUGUAGACCUGACUGUAGAGGACUUGCGGACGCGGGUUCAAUUCCCGCCGCCUCCACCA
rnacentral:tmRNA from 1 species